UCCAAGUGAAGUAGAGGACAGUGGCGGACGGGUGAGUAACGCGUGAGGAACCUGCCUUUCAGAGGGGGACAACAGUUGGAAACGACUGCUAAUACCGCAUGGCACAUAGAUGUCGCAUGGCAUUUAUGUCAAAGAUUUAUCGCUUCAAGAUGGCCUCGCGUCUGAUUAGCUGGUUGGCGGGGUAACGGCCCACCAAGGCGACGAUCAGUAGCCGGACUGAGAGGUUGAACGGCCACAUUGGGACUGAGAUACGGCCCAGACUCC
rnacentral:rRNA from 1 species